rnacentral:rRNA from 1 species
UACGUAGGCAGCAAGCGUUGUUCGGAAUUACUGGGCGUAAAGCGCGCGCAGGCGGUCUUCCAAGUCAGUGGUGAAAGCCCGGAGCUCAACUCCGGAACUGCCAUUGAAACUGUUGGACUUGAGUACGAGAGAGGUGAGUGGAAUUCCCAGUGUAGAGGUGAAAUUCGUAGAUAUUGGGAAGAACACCGGUGGCGAAGGCGGCUCACUGGCUCGUAACUGACGCUCAGGCGCGACAGCGUGGGGAUCAAACAGG